CCGAUGACCGGGACAACCCGAGGAAACUCGGGCUAAUACCGGAUGUGGUGACUGUUCAUGAGGGCAGUCACUAAAGAUAGCUUCGGCCUUCGCAUCGGGACGGGCCCGCGGCCCAUUAGCUUGUUGGUGGGGUAACGGCCUACCAAGGCGACGAUGGGUAGCUGGUCUGAGAGGACGAUCAGCCACACUGGGACUGAGACACGGCCCAGACUCCUACGGGAGGCAGCAGUGGGGAAUCUUGCGCAAUGCGCGAAAGCGUGACGCAGCAACGCCGCGUGGGGGAAGAAGGCCUUCGGGUUGUAAACCCCUUUCAGUUGGGACGAAGCUUCGCGGGUUAAUAGCUCGCUGGAGUGACGGUACCUUCAUAAGAAGCCCCGGCUAACUACGUGCCAGCAGCCGCGGUAAUACGUAGGGGGCAAGCGUUGUCCGGAAUCAUUGGGCGUAAAGCGCGCGUAGGCGGCCCGGUAAGUCCGCUGUGAAAGUCGGGGGCUCAACCCUCGGAUGCCGGUGGAUACUGUCGGGCUUGAGUGCGGAAGAGGCGAGUGGAAUUCCUGGUGUAGCGGUGAAAUGCGCAGAUAUCAGGAGGAACACCAAUUGCGAAGGCAGCUCGCUGGGACGUUAC
rnacentral:rRNA from 1 species